rnacentral:rRNA from 1 species
CCCUUAGAUGUUCUGGGCCGCACGCGCGCUACACUGAUGCAUUCAACGAGCCUAUCCUUGACCGACAGGUCCGGGUAAUCUUUGAAUCUGCAUCGUGACGGGGAUAGAUUAUUGCAAUUAUUAAUCUUCAACGAGGAAUGCCUAGUAGGCGCAAGUCAUCAGCUUGCGUCGAUUACGUCCUUGCCCUUUGUACACACCGCCCGUCGCUCCUACCGAUUGGGUGUGCUGGUGAAAUGUUCGGAUCGGCCGUUUGUCGCGGUUUCCGCGUCAUGUGGCUGAGAAGUUCAUUAAACCCUCCCACCUAGAGGAAGGAGAAGUCGUAACA